CUAAGGGAGAAGAAGGACCAAUUGGACCCUUUGGAGAACUGGGAUCUAGGGGAAAACCAGGUCGAAAAGGGUAUAUGGGUGAACCAGGGCCAGAAGGCUUAAAGGGAGAAACGGGAGACCAAGGAGAUAUUGGGAAAAUUGGCGAAACAGGGACCUGUUGGUUUACCUGGAGAAGUAGGGAUAACCGGAAGCAUUGGCGAAAAGGGAGAACGUGGAAGUCCAGGCCCACUUGGUCCCCAGGGGGAAAAAGGUGUCAUGGGUUACCCAGGUCCUCCUGGGGCUCCAGGACCCAUGGGCCCAAUUGGAUUACCUGGUCUUGUUGGAGCAAGAGGCGCGCCCGGGAGCCCAGGUCCUAAAGGACAAAGAG
rnacentral:lncRNA from 1 species